UACGGAAGGCAGCAGGGGGAAUAUUGCACAAUGGGCGAAAGCCUGAUGCAGCUAUGCCGCGUGUAUGAAGAAGGCCUUAGGGUUGUAAAGUACUUUCAUCGGGGAGGAAAAACAAAACUAAUAAUUUUAUUUCUUGACGUUACCCGAAAAAGAAGCACCGGCUAACUCCGUGCCAGCAGCCGCGGUAAUACGGAGGGUGCUAGCGUUAAUCAGAAUUACUGGGCGUAAAGAGCACGUAGGUGGUUUUUUUAAGUCAGAUGUGAAAUCCCUGGGCUUAACCUAGGAACUGCAUUUUGAAACUGAAAUACUAGAGUAUCGUAGAGGGAGGUAGAAUUCUAGGUGUAGCGGUGAAAUGCGUAGAUAUCUGGAGGAAUACCUGUGGCGAAAGCGGCCUCCUAAACGAAUACUGACACUGAGGGUGCGAAAGCGUGGGGAGCAAAACGAGGGAUUAGAUACCC
rnacentral:rRNA from 1 species